GCGCCUGUAGCUCAGGGGAUAGAGCAACGGACUUCUAAUCCGUGGGUCGUACGUUCGAAUCGUACUAGGCGCG
rnacentral:tRNA from 1 species